CGGCGCGCCUAACACAUGCAAGUCGAACGGGCGAGAGGAGCUUGCUCCUGAGCUAGUGGCGGACGGGUGAGUAACACGUGAGCAACCUGCCUUUCAGAGGGGGACAACAGUUGGAAACGACUGCUAAUACCGCAUAACAUCGUCGGACGGCAUCGUCUGACGAUCAAAGAUUUAUCGCUGAAAGAUGGGCUCGCGUCUGAUUAGAUAGUUGGUGAGGUAACGGCCCACCAAGUCGACGAUCAGUAGCCGGACUGAGAGGUUGAACGGCCACAUUGGGACUGAGACACGGCCCAGACUCCUACGGGAGGCAGCAGUGGGGGAUAUUGGACAAUGGGGGGAAAAACCCCCUGAUCCAGCGACGCCGCGUGAGAGAAGAAGGUUUUCGGAUUGUAAACCUCUGUUGACAGGGAAGAAAAUGACGGUACCUGUUUAGAAAGCCACGGCUAACUACGUGCCAGCAGCCGC
rnacentral:rRNA from 1 species